GGGUAGGUGGGUGGCGUGGCGCUGGGGAAUAAAUACGGUCGCCUAUUGCUUGAACUAAGGAAAAAGACACCAGCAAUCCGCCGUCCCUUAAUCUUAUCCAAUCCAGCGGACCGGUGACCAAGAUUUUCCAAUCCCACGAAUAGCACGGCGGCUUCUGGGGUCCCACCACUCGCAACAAAAGUGUCGGCUUCCUAAUCCUCCAUCCACAUCUGCCGGCGAAUCCCCGCCCGAAGGAAGGUGACAUCGGAACAUUUGUACUGAUUGGAAUUGAGAAGUCCAUUUCAUACUGCUACUUGACUUGUCAUUCAGACUGUACUCAGUGAUGUUAGAUGGAUAGUCCAACAGUAGACACUUUCUCUUCGCUUACAUGGGUUGUUGUUUGGGAGGACCAGCCAAAAGUGAAUCAUCGGAGAGAUCAUUGAAUGUCCACCAAGAAUGGAACAUAGGCCACUUAUCAAUCUGUAGGGAAAGGCUAUGGUCGUUGGCUUCAGACAAAAUGGAAAACAAUAACAGCAAUUUUCACUGCCCUGAAGCAAACCUGUCUUCAGGUCCUAUUUCUGUUGGCGAAGAAAACACAUUUUCACUAGAAAAUGGAAAUGGCUCUUCAUUUGUCAACCAAGCUGCUAUAGCUUGGAAUGAGAUGAGAAGAGAAUGGGUUGGUGAUCGGUCAAAAAGAUCCCAUAGAAGAUCAAGAGAACCUAUAAUAGGCUGGUGCACUACGUAUGAUGAUUUACUGGCAGUUGGUCAACCUUUUCCUCAGCCAAUCCCAUUAUCUGAAAUGGUAGACUUUUUGGUAGAUAUCUGGGAUGAAGAAGGGCUCUAUGAUUAGACGAGGAAUCUCUACCUAGCAGUUUGAUGGUUGCAGUUGCGAUUCUUUAUAGGCAAAUCAACACCAGCGGGCAGCUCUUUUUUGCCUUAUCAGAAGGAGCUACCUUUAAUUUGGGUGGCUAAACAAAAUAAGUAUUCAAUAUUAGAUAUCCACCUAACAGUGAAGGAAAGCAUCAUUAGAUACGUUUCAUGAAUUAUGGUACAAGGACCUUGUUCAGUAUUGCUAAAAGAGUUCACUUGGAGAAGUCUGGGUCCGCGGCUCCCUCUAUCAUCGAAAACAGGAAGCAAGAUGUCACUCCCCCAUUGUUAGUAUGUUUCAUCUGUUGAUCUCAGAAAUGAGGAUUAUGUCGCCAAAAUUUUGAGCUCUGUAUACCUGCUGUGUUUGUGGGAUGUUCCAGCAAUAUCGUAUUUUUACCAAAAAGAAGGGAGUGAAUGAAAGCUUUCUGGUUCCACUUCCGGUCAAUGGCAGGUGGAAUCUGUUCAGAAAGACUCCUAAUUUCCAUCUUGUGGCGAGGAACAAAAAAAGAUGCCCCUCUGGUUGUCUCUAAUUUAUAUGGGCUAGUUAGUAGUUGAGGUCUUUCUUGAUCAUAUAACAACUUUUCUUAUGUAUGAUUUAGUAGAAUCAGGUAUUACUAGGUUGGAAAUGAACCAACCCUGUUCAAUAACAACUCAAAGGAGGCUUCGAUGA